rnacentral:rRNA from 1 species
UACGUAGGGUGCGAGCGUUGUCCGGAAUUAUUGGGCGUAAAGAGCUCGUAGGCGGUGUGUCACGUCGGCCGUGAAAACCUGCAGCUUAACUGUGGGCGUGCGGUCGAUACGGGCAUCACUGGAGUUCGGCAGGGGAGACUGGAAUUCCUGGUGUAGCGGUGAAAUGCGUUGAUAUCGAUAGGAACUCCGGUGGCGAAGGCGGCAUACUGGACCACUUCUGACGCUGGGGCGCGAAAGCCAGGGGAGCAAACGGG